GAUGAAGAACGCAGCGAAAUGCGAUAAGUAAUGUGAAUUGCAGAAUUCAGUGAAUCAUCGAAUCUUUGAACGCACAUUGCGCCCGCCAGUAUUCUGGCGGGCAUGCCUGUUCGAGCGUCAUUUCAACCCUCAAGACCCCUUCGGGGGACUUGGUGUUGGGGACCGGCUGUUCCCGGCCUGCUUCUUGCAGCGCCUUUAUGCCGCCCCCGAAAUGAAUUGGCGGCCUCGUCGCGGCCUCCCCUGCGUAGUAGCACAACCUCGCAACGGGAACGUGACGGAGGCCACUGCCGUAAAACAACCCCAUUUUAUUAGAGUUGACCUCGAAUCAGGUAGGAAUACCCGCUGAACUUAAGCAUAUCAAUAAGCGGAGGA
rnacentral:misc_RNA from 1 species